rnacentral:rRNA from 1 species
CCUACGGGAGGCAGCAGUGGGGAAUAUUGCACAAUGGGGGAAACCCUGAUGCAGCGACGCCGCGUGAGUGAAGAAGUCAUUCGUUAUGUAAAGCUCUAUCAGCAGGGAAGAAACAGACGGUACCUGAGUAAGAAGCCCCGGCUAACUACGGGCCAGCAGCCGCGGUAAUACGUAGGGGGCCAGCGUUAUCCGGAUUUUCUGGGUGUAAAGGGAGCGUAGACGGCGAAGCAAGUCUGAAGUGAAAGCCCGCGGCUUAACCGCGGAACUGCUUUUGAAACUUUUUUGCUGGAGUAAUGGAGAGGUAGGCGGAAUUCCUAGUGUAGCGGUGAAAUGCGUAGAUAUUAGGAGGAACACCAGUGGCGAAGGCGGCUUACUGGACAUUAACUGACGUUGAGGCGCGAAAGCGUGGGGAGCAAACAGGAUUAGAUACCCGGGUAGUC